GCGUCCGGUGGUGCAACGGUUAGCAUUCGCUCCGGGAAAGAGUGAGAUCUGGGUUCAAAUCCCGGCUGACCGCA